rnacentral:rRNA from 1 species
AAUUGAAGGCUGGCAUGAAUGGCGCUAUGGGGAAAUACUGUCUCCUUUUAAUUUUCUACAAAUUCCUGAGAGGGUGAAAAUUCCCUCUAACUUUACAUUAGACGAGAAGACCCUUAGAAUUAUAACUAAACUUUUUCAUUAAGAACAACUUUUUUGUUGGGGCAACAUUAACUAUAACGGUUAAGUUAAAAAAUAACUGGGAGAUUAUUUUAAGGAUGAACUUAAUUACCUGAGGGAUAACAGCAUAAUUUAUAUAUAAGAUUAUGACCUCGAUGUUGGACUAGGGACUUUUUUCAUUAGACAUGAAGAUAGCGGGUUCUGUUCGAACUAUUUUACCCUACGUGAUCUGAGUUCAGAACGC